rnacentral:rRNA from 1 species
AAUGAACGCUGGCGGCAGGCCUAACACAUGCAAGUCGAACGAGUGGCGGACGGGUGAGUAAUGUCUGGGAAACUGCCCGAUGGAGGGGGAUAACUACUGGAAACGGUAGAUAAUACCGCAUACCAUCGGAUGUGCCCAGAUGGGAUUAGCGAGUAGGUGGGGUAACGGCUCACCGAGGCGACGAUCCCUAGCUGGUCUGAGAGGAGGACCAGCCACACUGGGAAUGAGACACGGGCCAGACUCCUACGGGAGGCAGCAGUGGGGAAUAUUGGACAAUGGGCGCAAGCCUGACGGAGCCAGGCCGCGUUGAUGAAGAAGGCCUUCGGGUUGUAAAGUUCUUUCAGUGAGGAGGCGGUACCUGCAGAAGAAGCACCGGCUAACUCCGUGCCAGCAGCCGCGGUAAUUC